rnacentral:rRNA from 1 species
UACGUAGGGGGCUAGCGUUGUCCGGAAUCAUUGGGCGUAAAGAGCGUGUAGGCGGUCCGGUAAGUCCGCUGUGAAAGUCGGGGGCUCAACCCUCGAAUGCCGGUGGAUACUGUCGGGCUAGAGUGCGGAAGAGGCGAGUGGAAUUCCUGGUGUAGCGGUGAAAUGCGCAGAUAUCAGGAGGAACACCGGUGGCGAAGGCGGCAUUCUGGACCGAUAUUGACGCUGAGGAGCGAAAGCCAGGGGAGCAAACGGG